UCAUUUCUCGAGCAGUCAAACUUUUUGCUAUAAAUCCAUGUCUUUGAUUAGACUACAUCGGAGUUGGUAUUUUGUAUCGCUCAGGCGGGUGAAACAAUAGUAAGUGUUGGAGUAUAUACGUGAUGAAAUGUGAUAUCGUGGACCGGUCAUUAAUUACUAGUCUAUGAUGAAACAUCAUCACAUCAGAUGGAAGAUUUCCAUGUCUGCG
rnacentral:lncRNA from 1 species